rnacentral:lncRNA from 1 species
CUUGAGCGGCUGGUGAGGGAGAGUGGUUGGAACCUUCCCAUGUACAGCUCCUUAGCUGUUCCUUCUGAGAAUUCCAGCCAGCUUACCAAAACCUGAGGCAGAAAGUGGAUAAUUUUGUGUCAACACAUCUGGACAAGCAGGAAUGGAAUCCUACGAUGAACAAAAACCAGUUGCGAAAUGGUCUGAGGCAGAGUGUGGUUCAGUAAGUCAGGGAUGUUGGAAGCUGGAGUAGACAGGAUUAUUUCUCAGGUGGUGGAUCCAAAACUUAACCACAUCUUCAGGCCACAAAUAGAACGAGCAAUUCAUGAGUUCCUGGCGGCCCAGAAAAAAGCAGCUGUGCCAGCACCCCCUCCAGAGCCCGAAGGCCAGGACCCUCCAGCUCCAUCUCAGGACACUUCCUAAGAAUACGCCAGACACCUUUUGAAAGCUAAUUUUUGGUGAAGAAAUGGAUUCGGUUACAUAAGAGUGCAACUUCAGACUGAAGAUAGGCCAAGGUCGUCACUGAUCUCAAGAUUUCAACCUUGACCAUGGGCAGUGACCAGAUUGAAAGGGGAGCAAGUUCGGCAGUGGGAGAGUUGACCGUGUCACCCCCUGCAUUGUGCUGCCAUUUGGCCAGCCUGUCCAAGGGCAUGACACCAAGUAGACACUACAGAGAGAGAAACACUACAGCAACCCAGGGUUGUCCUGAAACAGACUUUUAUACUUGAACAUGGAGACUGCACAUGGACUUUAGGGUUUGUGCUGUGGGAUAAACGGAAGCUACAGUGAGAACAUAGCCAGUCCCAAAG